GUGCCAGCAGCCGCGGUAAUACGUAGGGUGCAAGCGUUGUCCCGGAAUUACUGGGCGUAAAGAGCUCGUAGGUGGUUUGUCGCGUCGUCUGUGAAAUCCCGGGGCUUAACUUCGGGCGUGCAGGCGAUACGGGCAUAACUUGAGUGCUGUAGGGGAGACUGGAAUUCCUGGUGUAGCGGUGAAAUGCGCAGAUAUCAGGAGGAACACCGAUGGCGAAGGCAGGUCUCUGGGCAGUAACUGACGCUGAGGAGCGAAAGCAUGGGUAGCGAACAGGAUUAGAUACCCUGGUAGUCC
rnacentral:rRNA from 1 species